CUCUUUUUCCCCCCCUUUUCUCAGAGACUCCAGAGGAAUGUGCCUUUGUACAGCCUCACUAGCAUCCCUAAAUCAUGAUUAAUUUAAAGCCUUUUCUCUCCUUAGUUAGGCCUGACACAAGCAACCGCUUUUCUGUCACAUCGAUUUUUCUGUCCUUGCAGAUUCGAAGCCAGGGUUGAGUCCUCCUAACAGGGCGAGUUCUCUGACAAGGAAGUUUUGCAAGCAAAUUUACAGCUGGAGUCAAGCUCGUCAGUGAGGGCCAGAGGGGAACUGUCGCAAUCCACUGGGUGUUUGAAAAAUGCCUCUAACGUGUGUGGGCUAGAAUACAUUUUGUUUUUCUGUGGGCAUAUUCAUUUAACAAGGGCAGCCUUUGAGGAACGAUCAAAAACUGUUUGUCAUUUUUCCAAAUCAUCUCUCUCUGCGGUGACCAUGACUUAAUCCUGAAGGAAAACAAGUCUUUUCCCUUCUGGUCUCUGCGCUCUUGAAGGACAUUUGGGCCUGAAGUCCCAGGACUUAAGGCUGAUCCCGGCACAGAUGAGGACAGGAAGAGGAUGGCAUUGUAUGCACUUAUAAUUUCCUCAUCUCAAGCCCAUGUUAUGGAGGAUGUGCUGAAGUUCCGAGAAGUUAAGAAGCUUCUCCCCGAAUGAUACAGUAAAUGGCAAAGCUCAGAUCGAAUCCCAGGCCAUUUUUACUUCCAAUCUCUUGAGAGUCACCCAUGACCAAUACAUGAAAUAGGGACAUCAUUAGAGGGUGAAGAGCUUUUAGUGAGAAGAUGGAAUUUAAUAGAUCCAUAAUACAGAACAGGUUGCCCAUAGCUCCUUACUGUUUUGUUGUGGGAAUUCACCAAGAAGACAGAGAUGAUGAUGAUGAUGAUGAUGAUGAAGAUGAAGAAGAAGAAAAAGAAGAAGAAGAAGAAGAAGAAGAAGAAGAAGGCAAUGGAUAGCAGCAAGAGGAACUUUAAAAUUAUUCGGCUCUUCCUAUGGUGGGCCACAUAGCAUUCUAGCUUUCUAUGUACAUUAACUUAUUUAACCUUCCCAUCAGUUCUAUGAGAUUCUUAAAAUUGCCCCCAAGCUCAUAGAAGAAACUCAGAUAUAGUGAACUUUGGGACUUAAAUUUAACAACUAAAAAGUGACAGAGCCAGGAUUCCGCCUAAGCAGCCAGGCUCCAGAGAAAGAAUGUUGGAAAUAUAAAGCCUUAUAUUCUGCCAAGUAUCCAUACGAAAGAACCGAAGUAUUACAUUCUUAAAACACAGGCUCACCAACAUUCAACAAAGGACAUUUUUGAAAUUAAUGAAUUCAUCUUGAUUACUUAAGGUAUCUGUUUUCCUAAUCCCAUUAGCUCUCGAUAACGUUGCGUUUCCAUGGUUCUGUUUGUUUUUUCCACUUAGAAAAUAGCACAGCCCAUCUUUGUGUGGUUUCCUAAGGAAGAUAAGCCUCUGAUGUUGCUUUGUGGUUUUUAUACGUAGGAGCAGCAACAUCACUGCUCUGGGAAGUGUGGUCUCCUCGGAUGGACUGCUCCUAAGCAGCGCGUAUAGCAGGUGCCGCCUCGAGCUCCCUGACUGACUGCGAGCCGCUUGGUAUAUCAGGCAGAAUGACAGCACUGAAAGGAGUCCAGCUCUUUCAAAGCUAGAGAAAAUUCUUUACCAUGUCCUAAAAAGGUGGCAUCAGUUUUUAAAUGUAUUUCCUCAGAGUCACUUUUUUUUUUUUUUUUUUUACCGUUUAUUUACUUUUGAGACAGAGA